rnacentral:rRNA from 1 species
UGCAGUCUACUUGAUCCUUCGGGUGAAGGUGGCGGACGGGUGAGUAACGCGUAAAGAACUUGCCUUACAGACUGGGACAACAUUUGGAAACGAAUGCUAAUACCGGAUAUUAUGAUUGGGUCGCAUGAUCUGGUUAUGAAAGCUAUAUGCGCUGUGAGAGAGCUUUGCGUCCCAUUAGUUAGUUGGUGAGGUAACGGCUCACCAAGACGAUGAUGGGUAGCCGGCCUGAGAGGGUGAACGGCCACAAGGGGACUGAGACACGGCCCUUACUCCUACGGGAGGCAGCAGUGGGGAAUAUUGGACAAUGGACCAAAAGUCUGAUCCAGCAAUUCUGUGUGCACGAUGAAGUUUUUCGGAAUGUAAAGUGCUUUCAGUUGGGAAGAAGUCAGUGACGGUACCAACAGAAGAAGCGACGGCUAAAUACGUGCCAGCAGCCGCGGUAAUACGUAUGUCGCAAGCGUUAUCCGGAUUUAUUGGGCGUAAAGCGCGUCUAGGCGGCUUAGUAAGUCUGAUGUGAAAAUGCGGGGCUCAACCCCGUAUUGCGUUGGAAACUGCUAAACUAGAGUACUGGAGAGGUAGGCGGAACUACAAGUGUAGAGGUGAAAUUCGUAGAUAUUUGUAGGAAUGCCGAUGGGGAAGCCAGCCUACUGGACAGAUACUGACGCUAAAGCGCGAAAGCGUGGGUAGCAAACAGGAUUAGAUACCCUGGUAGUCCACGCCGUAAACGAUGAUUACUAGGUGUUGGGGGU